CAAUAAGCACCGGACCCCGAGUGGCGGCGCCGCCGCGACCCCUCCCUCGGGCCCACCAAGGCGGCUGGGGGCUGAGGCGUGACCCGGCCUAGUCCCAGGCUGUUGGCUGGCGACGUCGGGGGAACGGCCCGAGCCCGCCGGGACUCUACCCUUCCUGCCCCGCCGCCUGGGAAGACCUGCCCGCCCGGAGCAGAGGAGUCCGCGGCGGCGGCGCCAAGGGCGCCUCCCCCGGGCCUCCGAGGUCUGAGGUACCGCGGUUGCCGCGCCUCCCGAGCCUCUCGCCCUUCUCUUUAUUUCUCCUCCUCGCUUUCUCUCCCCCUUGCCUCCUCAUCUCACCCCUCAGCAGGUACGGAAACGGAGCCAGGCCCGGGAUUCGCCCGGAGGCCGAGCUCCCGGGACGCCCCCUCCUCCUUCCCGCCGCCUCUGGGUCUUCUGCCCCCACCCCAACUCUGCAAGGCCACAGCGCCCGUCUUCCGCGGGGUUCUUAAGGCCUCGGAGCAGACGUCCUUGUCGAAAGCUGUCGAUCACUUUCCUGCGAAAAUGACGAGAAACUCUAAAGUGUUCACAUUGUAUUUUCCUGUCCAGACUAGAUUAUUGAGCAGCUGAUAAGCUAUUGACAUCCAGGGAAAAGGAAUCAUGGGAGCACCAAGGAGGCUUCAGAGAAUCACUAAAGCUCUCUUUCUUAAACUAGGUGUUCUGAGUCCUGGAAACACUUCAAAGCCCCUGUCCAGCCCCAGCUGUCAGAGAGAAGCUCUGAAGCCGCUUCGAGAACCCAGGUGGUGGCCUUGCCCUCUGCCUCCCGGGACAUCAGGUGGCCGGCCGACCUUCCCAAAUGGCACACCCAUGAGCAGGCGGUGGCGACACUGAUCCACCAAGUGCUGGCAGUACUGGAUCUCAGCCCUGAGGUCACGCAGGUCCUGAUACUCAGCCCGGUACUGCUUCUUGAGGUCUUUGAGCUUCAGGAUCAUCAGGAAUUCCUCCUCGUCGAUGAUCAUCAGCCCCUUGCUCUCAUACUCGCCUGCAGGGACACAGGAGAUCUGCUCUAAUGCGGAACACCUGCUGUUUCUGGAAAGGUCUGGAGGUGGAAAAAGUCUGACAUGAAUGCUAUCAACAAGAAGCAACCAUGCAUACCUUCUGGACUGCAGAGAUGGCAGCAAAGUCAUUCUUGUCUAUGAGGGUGUAUUUCCUGCGCAAAGUGGACUCCACUUCCUGUUCCUGUUGGCUUGAAAGAGAGAAUGAGAGAACACCUCGCACUUUGGCGCUAGGCUGAACCUUCCAGAGCAAGAACCAAGUAUGGGAAUUAGAAGUCAUUUGGGUGUGGCCCCUUGGGAUGGAACCAUACCCUCAUCAUGAACCAGACUAGACCAAACAAGCCCAUUCCACACCCCGAUUCCUCAGGGCACACACCCACUGUCCAGCCCUAAAAUCCGCAGUGGCCACCCUUAUGUGCCAGGCACUUCUGCUCCAAAACUUUAACAAGGACUGUAAGCCUGCCUCAGGACCAUGCUUUCCCACCCAGGUUCUAUCUUUACAAGGCCCUUGGGAAUCAUGUGACCCAUGUCUGUGCUACUACCCAGCAUGAGCUGCUCAGUCUACAGGUGUGUCUGCACCCAAAUAAACUGCAAAUGACUCCUGAAGUGGGAGUUGAGCACAGGGUGUAUUCACGAUGCCCUGCUCUGGCCACACUCAGAGCUGGUACUCCAGAAGGACCCCCCGUCUAAUUAAUGAACUCAGGAAACACCCACCAGGGACUACUUCCUCUCUGAGCUGUCCUUGAUUGGAGGGCUCUCCUCCCCGCUUCCCCCAGGGGAAAGGGAGGGCUGGAGGAUCUGAGAGCUCAGGGGCCUGGGCACACCCCAAGGACUGUGAGCUGGCUUCUCACCCAUGAGAAACAGGGCAGUGUGCUUAGAGGCCACACCUUGACCAUGGGAAAUGAAAAAGGCAGCCUGAUGUAGGAGUCAGGUGGGUGGGUGGGGGUCCCUUACCUCAGCACCACCCGGAACUGGUUGAACACCUCCUGGAUCUGUCUGAGGUUGAUGAUCUGGAGGGAAGACAGCAGGGCAGAGAGGUUGGGCUUCAGGCAGCACAGGACUGAGGGUGUGUCUAUGGUUAGUAGAGAAACCAGGACUCUUCGGCUAACCCUUGAUCAUCUGCCUUAAGAAUGGAACAUCUGAAAUCUCCUCAAGAACAGAGAAACGGGUGCCUGGGUGGCUCAGUAAUUGGGCAUCUGCCUUCAGCUCAGGUC